GCCCCUGUAGCUCAAUCGGAUCGAGCAUUUUGAUUACGACCAAAAAGGUUGCGGGUUCGAAUCCCGCCAGGGGCUCAA
rnacentral:tRNA from 1 species